GCGUAACGCGNUAUACAAUCCUGCCUUUCACAUAGGGGAUAGCCCGAAGAAAUUUGGAUUAAUACCUAAUGGUAUAUAAGAGCGGCAUCGUUUUUAUAUUAAAGCUACGGUGGUGAAAGAUGAGUAUGCGUUCUAUUAGCUAGUUGGAGAGGUAACGGCUCCCCAAGGCGACGAUAGAUAGGGGUUCUGAGAGGGAUGUCCCCCACACUGGUACUGAGAUACGGACCAGACUCCUACGGGAGGCAGCAGUGAGGAAUAUUGGACAAUGGUCGGAAGACUGAUCCAGCCAUGCCGCGUGCAGGAUGAAGGUCCUAUGGAUUGUAAACUGCUUUUG
rnacentral:rRNA from 1 species